rnacentral:rRNA from 1 species
UACGUAGGGUGCAAGCGUUGUCCGGAAUUAUUGGGCGUAAAGAGCUUGUAGGCGGUUUGUCACGUCUGCUGUGAAAUUUCGGGGCUCAACCCCGAACUUGCAGUGGGUACGGGCAGACUAGAGUGUGGUAGGGGAGACUGGAAUUCCUGGUGUAGCGGUGAAAUGCGCAGAUAUCAGGAGGAACACCGAUGGCGAAGGCGGGUCUCUGGGCCGAAACUGACGCUGAGGAGCGAAAGCGUGGGGAGCAAACAGG